rnacentral:rRNA from 1 species
GCAGCGGAAAGUAGCUUGCUACUUUUGCCGGCGAGUGGCGAACGGGUGAGUAAUGUAUCGGAACGUGCCCAGUAGCGGGGGAUAACUGGCCGAAAGGUCAGCUAAUACCGCAUACGCCCUACGGGGGAAAGGGGGGGACUCUUCGGAGCCUCUCACUAUUGGAGCGGCCGAUAUCGGAUUAGCUAGUUGGUGGGGUAAUGGCUCACCAAGGCAACGAUCCGUAGCUGGUUUGAGAGGACGACCAGCCACACUGGGACUGAGACACGGCCCAGACUCCUACGGGAGGCAGCAGUGGGGAAUUUUGGACAAUGGGGGAAACCCUGAUCCAGCCAUCCCGCGUGUGCGAUGAAGGCCUUCGGGUUGUAAAGCACUUUUGUCAGGGAAGAAAAGGUUCUGGCUAAUAUCCGGAACUGAUGACGGUACCUGAAGAAUAAGCACCGGCUAACUACGUGCCAGCAGCCGCGGUAAUACGUAGGGUGCAAGCGUUAAUCGGAAUUACUGGGCGUAAAGCGUGCGCAGGCGGUUCGGAAAGAAGGAUGUGAAAUCCCAGGGCUCAACCUUGGAACUGCAUUCUUAACUACCGGACUAGAGUAUGUCAGAGGGGGGUAGAAUUCCGCGUGUAGCAGUGAAAUGCGUAGAUAUGCGGAGGAAUACCGAUGGCGAAGGCAGC